GUGAACACAGCACACGGUUCUCCUCAAAGAUUUGUAUUCAAACUUCAAACGACUGACAGGCUCCGACUCCAUGAACACACUGCAGUCUUCAGAUCGCGUCUGUUCUUGCUGGAUCGCCAUGAGUGAUCUCCUAGAAGAGGAUGAUAAGAAGUCCGGGAAGCGGAUGGAGUAGCAGUUGAUGAUGAUUGAAUGUCACGAAUUGAGAGAACUGUGAGUCAGAUUCACACAUUGACUUUCCUCCUCAGGCUGCACUGGACAUCAAGGUAAACUGACAACCCGAAUCCACAUCACCGUGGCUGUUGCCAUGCAGUGCGGACCAACGGACAGGAAGCUAAAAGUCUAAAUCAGUCUACAGCAAUAAAACUCAAGUUUUAUUAUCAAGUCAAGUCACUUAUAUAAUAAACUGUUACCUGUAGUUUGGAGAUAAAGUUCCUGUUAUGUGAUGAGGGCAAUUAGUCAUAAUCUGUAAUAUAACAACUUUCCCCUUACGUAGAUAACCAAAUCCACUUGGAUGAAUUGUAUUAACCAACUACGUAAGAUAACAUUUAUCUAAAGAAUGUGAAAGUGAUGCAUAUGAUGUCGCAACACGAUUACUGUGUUGUGUGGGUUGGUUAAGGUUACAGGUGUGUUUUGGCCAAUAAAAUUCUAUUCCUAUCUUUAAAAUUCCAGUGGAUGUUUGGUGUAAAAUCGUGUCAUUUUAUGUUAAAUUAAACACUUUGCACAAAUCAUUUCAUAAGGAUCAAUUGUGGUUUCACAGUGAGAUAAUAAAGUAACACUGCUGAAUAACCGCUU